rnacentral:lncRNA from 1 species
GUACAGGAAUCUGAUAUGAAAAUAAUAUCCUUGUUUGGGUUUCAUUUGUUGAUCUUCCUUAGAAUGACAAGUGCAGUCCUUGUGUCUUAUUCAUUUUAUCAAAUGUGCUAUUGUAUUUGAAGUAGCCAUUGUUUCUCAUUCAUCUUAAAAUCCUGCAAAAAAAAUGAUAUUAUUAUACACAAUAUAAUUAAUUUAUAAGCCCCAUUGCUAUAUAUAUAUAAUGCAUAAUAUCUAUUACUUCAAUCAUUGUACUUGAUUUAUAUGCU